UGACUACUUUAGCUUGCUAGAGUAGAAGGAGUUGCGAACGGGUGAGUAACGCGUAGGUAACCUGCCUACUAGCGGGGGAUAACUAUUGGAAACGAUAGCUAAUACCGCAUAACAGUGUUUAACACAUGUUAGAUGCUUGAAAGAUGCAAAUGCAUCACUAGUAGAUGGACCUGCGUUGUAUUAGCUAGUUGGUGGGGUAACGGCCUACCAAGGCGACGAUACAUAGCCGACCUGAGAGGGUGAUCGGCCACACUGGGACUGAGACACGGCCCAGACUCCUACGGGAGGCAGCAGUAGGGAAUCUUCGGCAAUGGGGGCAACCCUGACCGAGCAACGCCGCGUGAGUGAAGAAGGUUUUCGGAUCGUAAAGCUCUGUUGUAAGAGAAGAACGUGUGUGAGAGUGGAAAGUUCACACAGUGACGGUAACUUACCAGAAAGGGACGGCUAACUACGUGCCAGCAGCCGCGGUAAUACGUAGGUCCCGAGCGUUGUCCGGAUUUAUUGGGCGUAAAGCGGGCGCAGGCGGUUUAAUAAGUCUGAAGUUAAAGGCAGUGGCUUAACCAUUGUUCGCUUUGGAAACUGUUAAACUUGAGUGCAGAAGGGGAGAGUGGAAUUCCAUGUGUAGCGGUGAAAUGCGUAGAUAUAUGGAGGAACACCGGUGGCGAAAGCGGCUCUCUGGUCUGUAACUGACGCUGAGGCUCGAAAGCGUGGGGAGCAAACAGGAUUAGAUACCCUGGUAGUCCACGCCGUAAACGAUGAGUGCUAGGUGUUAGGCCCUUUCCGGGGCUUAGUGCCGCAGCU
rnacentral:rRNA from 1 species